UACGAAGGGGCUAGCGUUGCUCGGAAUCACUGGGCGUAAAGGGCGCGUAGGCGGAUCUUUAAGUCGGGGGUGAAAGCCCAGGGCUCAACCCUGGAAUGGCCUUCGAUACUGGAGAUCUUGAGACCGGAAGAGGUAAGUGGAACUGCGAGUGUAGAGGUGAAUUCGUAGAUAUUGCAAGAACACAGUGGCGAAGGCGGCUCACUGGCCCGAUACUGACGCUGGAGGCACGAAAGCGUGGGAGCAAACAGG
rnacentral:rRNA from 1 species